rnacentral:lncRNA from 1 species
GAGAAGAAAGAUAACGAAAACAACUAUGGAAAACAGAGGACUCCCUCUAAGAUCAAUCAUCUCACAUUCUCUCUGGAUAACACUAGUUGGAAUCCUUCUCUUCAGUCUCUCCACCACAAAAAAACACAACUUUGGUUACACCAAAUUCUUUUCUAUAUGCGGAACGUUACUCAUGACCAUACCUUGGAUAAUCCAACUUCUUCUCACUUCUGCUGUCAUAUUACUGCAUAAGAGUAUAGGUUACAACCUUAUGUGGGUUGUUCGGCCACCAAAAUCAUCUAAAGAGAAUCAUCAUCCCACUAAUGUCGUCACUAUCUCUUCUUCUUCUCCAUCAUCUCCUCUUUCGUCCGGCCAGGCUCUCAAGAACGGCGACGCGGGUGAGAUCGAGAUUAGGAUUGUGAUUCCAAGAAGUCCAAACUCAACUCAUUUGGAGAUUGAAGGAAGAAACAACUCCAAACUUCUUGCAAAUGGAUCACCUGUUUCUUAAAAUGUGACUACUCUCUUCUUGUUCUGUUUUGCUUCUUUUUUCAUUUCUCUUUUCUUUAAAGACUAUGAUCUGAAACUUGUAGUGCUUACAAUAUUUCCGUUGUAAGUUUCCAUUAGUAAUUGCUAUUUUAUAAUUCAUAUUUAAAUCUCUAUUAACAAGUGGACUAGUAUGUAGCUAAACGAAUACACACUGACUACACAGAUUCACAUUCACAUUCACAUUCCUUUUUACUUAGUUUUUCCAUAUGUGAUUGUGUGAUGGAGGAGAGGCUGAUGGUGCUAAAGAGCUUCUUGAAAUGAAGACUAUAGCCACUAUGAGAUAAAAAAAAAGGGAUGGUGGUUGAAAGCUUAUAUUCAUUUUAAAGGAAAACAAGAAAAUACAAAUUAAACCAACAGGGAUAAGACUGGACAUUACUUUCUGACAAAUUCAUUGAUCCGAGACAAAGUGAGAGAGAUACAAACAACAAUCUUGAAAGCUAGAAGAUCUGCUUUCUUCUAUAUGUACAUUUGGUGUUUACCUAUGACUAACGAUCUUAUUAUCCAAUGUGUGCCAUCACGGCUCAUUCUUUUGAAGGGGAGCCAUUGACAAAGGAAGAAGAGAUGGAGGAAGCUGACCAGUUACUUGAAGCUACAAGAGAGGCUGCAUCAAUCAAAACCGAAGAAUGACUACUAACCCCCACAGUAUAUGGUGAAACAUCAGGCAAAGGCAGGCUGUUGUUUAAGUAUAAAACCACUUGUUCCAUCGUAGGCCUCGAUUCCGGCACAGUACUUGAACAUAGCAAACCAAGUUUCAUAACCAUCUCCACUUCCUCUUGCAAGAACUCAUAUCCCAGUCUCGGGUCAACAGCCUCAAGCAAAGCAUCCCUUUUCCAGCACUCACAAACCCAUUUGAUCAGAAGCCGUUUCUCGCAUUGUAACUGUGGUUCCACAGGUCUCCUCCCACAUGUCACUUCAAGCAUGAAAACACCAAAGGCAUACACAUCAGUUCCAGUGGAAGCCACCAUAUCGAUCACUUCCGGCGCAAUGUACCCUAUAGUUCCAACGGCUCCUGUUGGGUAUGCAUACCCUCCAUGGUCAUGAAACCUCGCCAUACCAAAAUCCCCUAGCCUUCCAUUGAACUCACCGUCCAACAUAAUGUUUGAAGAUUUGAUAUCUCUAUGCAGAACAACCUGAUCAGCACCUGUGUGCAAGUAACAAAGAGCAGAAGCUAUCCCUUUAAGGAUCACAAGCCUCUGAGGCCAAGAGAGUACUGGUUUCUCGUCAUCAAACAAAUGCUCGUCAAGACUACCGUUGGGCAUGUACUCAGAGACCAAAAGAAGCUCAUGCUUUCUCCUGCAGUAACCAAGAAGCGGAACAAGGUUCCUGUGUUUCAGACACCUCAUGCUCACCACUUCAGACACAAACUGCUUCACACCUUGAUCAUCAUUAUGGAACAUUCUCUUGACAGCUAUCUCUCUGCUUCGCAGGAGAGUUCCUCUGUACACUUCUCCAAAGCCUCCUUUUCCAAGAAACCCAUCCUUGUUGAACCCUUUUGUUGCGUUGUAUAAGGACUCGUAAGAGAAUCUGUGUGCACCAAACUCCUUUUCCCAUUCUUCAGUUACUUCUGCAUACUUACACUUCUUGAAAAGAUACACUCCUAUAACAACACCCAAGCCCAUGGUAGCUAUAAAACCAAGCAGGAUUGUGAUUAGUUGAGAAUAAUUCUUAUGUUCAGAUCACUUUCCCAAUUGGGAGGAGAAGAAAGAUAACGAAAACAACUAUGGAAAACAGAGGACUCCCUCUAAGAUCAAUCAUCUCACAUUCUCUCUGGAUAACACUAGUUGGAAUCCUUCUCUUCAGUCUCUCCACCACAAAAAAACACAACUUUGGUUACACCAAAUUCUUUUCUAUAUGCGGAACGUUACUCAUGACCAUACCUUGGAUAAUCCAACUUCUUCUCACUUCUGC